rnacentral:rRNA from 1 species
AGGGCACCACCAGGAGUGGAGCCUGCGGCUUAAUUUGACUCAACACGGGGAAACUUACUAGAUUAGAACUCUGGAAUGAUUGACAGAUUGAUAGCUCUUUCUUGAUUCAGAGGAUGGUGGUGCAUGGCCGUUCUUGAUUCGUAUUCCGAAACGUCUGCUUAAUUGCGAUAACGAGUGAGACCUCUUCACGCAAACUAGUUGCUCGGUGCGCUGUGGGACGCAAAAGUUCGCGUCAAGUUCUAGGUUGGUGGCUCUCACGGGUCGCUAGCUACCUUGGCGUGGAUGUCCUCUGCUCGCCAGUAGACUUCUCUGCGGAAUCAUGAAUAAAAAAUUCAGAGAGACGAGGCA